GAUGAACGCUAGCGGCAGGCUUAACACAUGCAAGUCGAGGGGUAUAGUUCUUCGGAGCUAGAGACCGGCGCACGGGUGCGUAACGCGUAUGCAAUCUACCUUUUGCAGAGGGAUAGCCCAGAGAAAUUUGGAUUAAUACCCCAUAGUAUGUGAGAAUGGCAUCAUUUUCACAUUAAAGUCACAACGGCAAAAGAUGAGCAUGCGUCCCAUUAGCUUGUUGGUAAGGUAACGGCUUACCAAGGAAACGAUGGGUAGGGGUCCUGAGAGGGAGAUCCCCCACACUGGUACAAAGGCACGGACCAGACUCCUACGGGAGGCAGCAGUGAGGAAUAUUGGACAAUGGGCGCAAGCCUGAUCCAGCCAUGCCGCGUGCAGGAUAACGGUCUUAUGGAUUGUAAACUGCUUUUGUACAGGAAGAAACACUGGUUCGUGAACCAGCUUGACGGUACUGUAAGAAUAAGGAUCGGCUAACUCCGUGCCAGCCGCCGCUGUAAUAC
rnacentral:rRNA from 1 species